UCAACGGCUCUUUUCAGAGCCACCUACUUCAUCCUAAAGCCCUGAU
rfam:Nestor notabilis contig35551, whole genome shotgun sequence.